rnacentral:rRNA from 1 species
AUUGAACGCUGGCGGCAUGCCUUACACAUGCAAGUCGAACGGUAACGCGGGGCAACCUGGCGACGAGUGGCGAACGGGUGAGUAAUAUAUCGGAACGUGCCCAGUAGUGGGGGAUAGCCCGGCGAAAGCCGGAUUAAUACCGCAUACGACCUACGGGUGAAAGCGGGGGAUCGCAAGACCUCGCGCUAUUGGAGCGGCCGAUAUCAGAUUAGGUAGUUGGUGGGGUAAAGGCCUACCAAGCCUACGAUCUGUAGCUGGUCUGAGAGGACGACCAGCCACACUGGGACUGAGACACGGCCCAGACUCCUACGGGAGGCAGCAGUGGGGAAUUUUGGACAAUGGGCGCAAGCCUGAUCCAGCCAUGCCGCGUGCGGGAAGAAGGCCUCGGUUGUAA